CGGCUGCGCCUGCGCCUGCGCCUGGGCCGCGCGGUUCAGACCUUGCAGACCUGGUCCCGCGCCAAGCGGCCCCGGAGGCGGCGCUUGGCCGCCCGCACCGCUCCUUCCGGGCACCGAGUCUCUCGGACUGGUCACGCAAGGAGAGAACCUGUUAUCUGGAGGUGAAGGACUCUGCCCCAGGAUGGGGAAGUCUGCCCCUUUCCCGGGAUGCGCGCUGAUGCUUCCCCAGAGGUGCCAGCAGUUUGCAGCUCGUUGGACUUGGCGGCCCGUGAGAAACCUCAGGCGGCUAGGGUGCGGAGUGGAGAGGGCACGACAAACCGGGACGGGGACAUCGCUGGGGCCCCAUUGCGAGGGCCCCCUUGGGUGCAGCCUUCCUCUGGAAGAUGGCCUUCCACUUACUGACCCAAGAGGAAUGAGGGCCUUAAUAAGAGAACUCCUCCACCCCACACCAACACACACUGAAAACCUGCCCCGUGGUGUCUUCACUCAAGAGGCGCUCACUUUUCUCCUUUCCUGGUUACCUGGUCUUUCCCAGCAAAGGCCAGGUCUGGUUGUUGGUCCCCACCCUGCGGGCAGCGAACUUAGUAGGUCCUGACGCUUGCUUGGCUGACAGCACUCCUUCCCCCACCCCAACCCCAGGCUGCAUCCAAGCUUCACCCCCUAAUCCAAGGCCUCUGUCUGUCCUCCUGCCCGCUAAGAGUUAGGAGUAAUGGGGUUUUCAUGACUCCAAGACUUUCCCAACGAUCCCCAAAGUCGAGGAGAAGGGCAUGUUCAUUAGAAUCUCAUCUUUUUGAGAUGGGUCCACCCGGAAUCUUCUGGAUAUACGCAAGUAAGUGUUAGUUGCCCAGUCAUCCCUGACUUUUUGCUACCCCAUGGACUGCAGCCCACCAGACUCUUCUGUCCAUGAGAUUUUCCAGGCAAGAGUACUGGAGUGGGUUGCCAUUUCCUUCUCCAGACAAUCUUCCCGACCCAGGGAUCGAACCCAGGUUUCCUGCAAUGCAGGCAGAUUCUUUACCGACUGAGCUACAAGAGAAGCCAGCCAAUAAAAGCCUGUGCCUUUUCUAAGAUGAGAACCACCCAAACAAGAUGAAUAGGGCCUGUCCAGGAUGUAGUAUAGUCACGUAGUCCUGUCCAACUCUUUGAGACCCCAUGGGCUGUAGCCCGCCACGCUCCUCUGUCCAUGGAAUUCUUUAGGCAAGAAUACUGGAGUGGAUUGCCAUUUCCUUCUCCAAGGAAUUGAACCCAGGUCUCCUGCAUUUCGGGCACAGUCUUUACUGUCUGAGCCACAAAGGAAGCCCUCCUGGGAUGUAACGUUCCCCUCUCCUAGAACACUCUUCAUUUUUGCUGCUUUUUAGCUUUUUCAGCCCUUCUUUCUGUCAACAUAGGAAAAGGUCUGAUUUCUCCCUCCAGUUUGCCUGAAUUAGCUCUUUGAACUCUGUAUUUCUGUCGGUUGUCCACCAUUUUAGAAAAACCAAGUGCUCGGACAACCCUGGUGGUCCAGUGGUUAAGAACAUACCUGCCAAUGCAGGGGACACGGGUUCAAUCCCUGGUCUGAGAGGAUCCCACAUACCUUGGGGCAACUAACCCCAAGUACCUCAACUACUGAAGUCUGUGUGCCCUAGAGCCAGUGCUCCACAAGAGAAACUGCCGCGAUAGGAGUAGCCCCGCAACUAGAGUAGCCCCCGUUCACUGCAGCUAAGCCUGAGCGGCAACGAAGACCCAGCACAGCUAAUAAAUAAAUUAAAAAACAGUACAGGCCCUUCAUUUCCCUCCCUGCCGCCUCCCCCCACCCCCGCCGCAACAUAUUGGUCCAAACCAAUGAUCAGACAGGCCCUGAAUACAAGGCAAGCUAACUGAUGCCACCUGACUCCUUUCUUCUUGGUAAUCUGUCUUCUCCCCUAUUAUUUUCUUAAGCACAUCCACCACCCUUUGGUACCUGAGAUCUGGAGUCCAAAGGAAUAUUAACAAAUAUCGUUUCCCGCUGAAUAAUAAUCUAAGGCAUGAGGAAGAUAUAUUGUAAAAUAUAUUUUAAAUAAUUCAAAUAGUAAGAAUCUUUAAGUGCUCAGUAUAUGGGUUUGUGGCUUAAAAAAACAGCAAGCAGAAGAAACAUCAAAGCCCUACAUGAUGCAGCCAGUACACAGUGGUCCUUAGUGGAAAGGAUGGUGGAUGUAAUCUCCCAAAUGUUGUCUUGGACUUGCACAUACUUUUUACCUUCGUUCGUUUUCUUCAUCAGAAAUGUAUCUUGGAACUCUCAGUUCUUGACAUCCAUGAGCACAGCUUAGUAACAUUUGGGCCAAUGAAUUUCUGUUCGUUUAAGCUCAGAAGCAUCCCUUGGCCUGACUUUCUCUCUCUCUUGCCAUAUCACGGAACUCUGACAUAGACUUUCACUAAAAUCCCCACCAGUAAGAUGACAAGGACCGCCAGGAGCAGGAGCCCCCGCCGCAGUACCAGCUGUCUCCCAGACAACCUCCACGCGGCCCUGGGAUGGACUUCGAGACACUCUUCUUGGCGCAUCUGCUGAUCCGACUGAGUCUCCUCUUUCUGUCCAACAUCUCUUAUCAACAUUCCUCCACGGUUUUCAGGGCCCACUGGAGGGGAAAAUGAACUCAGCACCUUAAAAGGAUAUUUUUCAUCUGUAUAAAAGGAAAAGCACGUAUGCAGUACCUGCUGGGAGAAUGAUAAUUCAGGAAGCAGUUGCUUCCUGACCAUGAAGAAUAAAGAAAAUCCUGACUCAGGUGUUGUCCAUGAACCCACAGACACUGACUAGAUCCUGGUGGGGUCAGCAUGGGCUCUACCCUAUUGCAUACAAAGCCAAGUAAGGUAGCACUUUAGGUUAACAGUUUUGUUGUUUAGCUGCUAAGUCGUGUCUGGCUCUUUGCAACCCUAUGGACUGUAGCCUGCCAGGCUCCUCUGUCCAUGGGAUUUUCCAGGCAAGAAUACUGGAGUGGGUUGCCAUUUCUGCCUCCAAGGGAUCUUCCCAACCCAGGGAUCAAACCUGCGUCUCCUGCACCAGCAGGUGGAUUCUUUACCACUGAGCCACCAGGGAAGCCCUAGUUUAACAGGCUUAGGGGAAAUGUUCAAGGGGGCCAGCACUACCAAAUUAGCAUCUCAGAAAGAAAAUAAGGUCAGUGGAGGAAAGGAUGACCUAAGAGGUGAUUCAAGAGCGUGACAGCACGUUGGCGGGGGAGAUGCAAGCCUUCCCGUUAGAGGACCCUCUUAAAACCAGGCAGGAUAGUGACCCAGACCUAAGUUUAGUCUCAUGGUACUUCAGAAGAGGAACAGUAAGGAAAACACCCUAAAUGCUUGCACCUGUACUGAAUUGAUCACCUGCAACUCUUAAUCAUCUAUGGCAGCAUGUGAGUCAACAAUUAAAGCAAACAAACUUCAGCUGUUUACCUGAAGCUGGAUGCUCCCUAUCGUUUGUUUUGGAGGCAUUAUUUCCCUAUUUAAAUGGGAGCUCAGCACAGCAAAUCUAGUUGUGAACACCUAGAGGGGCCUUUCCAAGAGCAGGGGCAGAUGUAUCAUACCUGGGCAAAGUGGGUCUUGAGGGAGCGUGGCCAUCCCGUUCCCAGCCAUUCUUUGCUUCAGAUUGGCAUGUUCCUGAGCCUAGGAGAGGGAACGCGUCAGUCCAUAGGCUCCAUCACAGUGCAGCCACACACCUGGCCGUACCCUUGCUGAGGAAAAACCCAGCCAUUUUCUCUCACUGACAGGGCAGGACAGCAGCGUCCAUAGUUACCUGCUGGCAGGCUUUUUUCCAGUUUAGCCGGGCAAUGAAGCCGAGGAAACACGCAGCCUGAGAGAUGGUACAGAUGGUGAUUCCUGACCACAGACCUGGAGCCGCGUCUCAAAAUCUGUCUCCACGCUCUGACAGCCACCUCCCAGGCCGUGAUCCCGGCUCUUCCUGCUCUGGGGGAGGCUUACCCAGCAGUCCAAGCCCAGCAGCAAACAUGAGGGAGAUCCCGAUGGGAAGACCGAGCACGUAGUACCCGACAGCGUUGAUGAUGGCGCCCGCCUUCUGGUUCCCGGUGCCGCGCAGGAUGCCUCCACAGGUGCACUGCGGGCAGACACCAGUCGUGUGAACACGGCUCAUGCUGCCCCCACGACGCCCACCCCAGCACCCCCCACCUCUGGGGACUCAGCCUCAAGUCCAGGGCCUCAUGAAGUGGACAUGAGAGGAAUAUCCCACCUCCCCGGCCGCUCUCUCCGUUAGAAUCUACCAUCGUCAGCAGAAACUCGUGGAUCGUAAAGGCGGCUGAGGUGGUACCACCGCUCAGUACUCACAGCCAGCCCUUCGAAGAGAUGCGAAACCGCGUAAAUCGGGACCACCUGGGCCACCAGCGAGACGAUCUCUCUGUCAGGAGAGCAAAGCAGAGCAUGACUGGGAGGCGGACCUGGGCAGAGAGGAGGGCAGUGUGGUUCCUGGUGACCGUAUUCUGACCGCCAGGCAGGGCUCCGCGUCCGUUUGGAGCCAACAGGCUCAGGUGUCCUGCCAACAACCUUUUCAGGGACAGUCCUACCUUGUUUUGGUCUGCAGUGGAAACUACUGUAUGCAGUAUCUCAAGACUUUUAGAAAACAUAUAGUCCCUGUGGUCAACAUAAACAGUUCAGCCAAAUGAUUUCACUAAAAAAGAAUACAUAUAAUGUAUACAUGUAGCUGAUUCACUUAGCUGUACACCUGAAAUUUAACACAACACUACAAAUCAACUAGACUCCCAAUAAAAUUAAAAUGAAAGUCAAUCAAAUGAUUCUGUACUCCUCUCCUGCACCCCCCCAAAAUAAAAUGGGGGUUAUAGAGCCAUCCUUCUUUUCACACAAUUCCACGCAUGUCCCCUCCAAGUAUCUGAGAGAUGCACAACAGGAUCAGGGUCAGCCUCCCUCCAGGGAACCAGGCUGGCAAGUUCUAAAGGCCACAGAUAGAGUUUACAGAGCUGGCCUUGACCCUCACCUCUACAGCUAGAGACAGAAAGACACUGCCAGGGGCCGGAAUGGCCGAGUAUUCCCAAUUCCUUCAAGUGGUUAACGAAGAAACAUACAAUGCUGUCUGGCAGUAAAUGUUGGUUGAAUGAAUAAAUAAUUAAGACAUCCAGCACAGAACAGGAUGGUCACCCCUCCCUGCCAAACAAGGACAGAAGUACAGUUCUUUUAUUCAAAUGUUAUUUUGCUUUUGAAUAGGUAACAUAUGCCAAUGGUUAAGAGAAAUUAAACAACAUGAAAAGCAUAUGGAGGAAAAUCUUAUUUCCAUUCCUUCCCCACUCCUCCCGUGACCUGCCCCCAAACCAAGGAACAGUUCUGGGCACUGUCUUUGUCCAGUGCUCAUGAAAAUAAAAGCAAGCACAAAUAUAUGUUCUUCUUUCCCCUUCUGGACCUGAUGUAUGAUUUCAUGUUCUGACAUUCUCUUCAUGGUGUUCUGUACCUUGACUUUUCUGCCUCGUGUAUUACAUUCACUUUUAAAAAAUCUUAUUUAUUUA